rnacentral:rRNA from 1 species
AUUGAACGCUGGCGGCAUGCCUUACACAUGCAAGUCGAACGGUAACAGGUCUUCGGAUGCUGACGAGUGGCGAACGGGUGAGUAAUACAUCGGAACGUGCCCGAGAGUGGGGGAUAACGCAGCGAAAGCUGUGCUAAUACCGCAUACGAUCUACGGAUGAAAGCAGGGGAUUCGCAAGAACCUUGCGCUCAUGGAGCGGCCGAUGGCAGAUUAGGUAGUUGGUGGGAUAAAAGCUUACCAAGCCGACGAUCUGUAGCUGGUCUGAGAGGACGACCAGCCACACUGGGACUGAGACACGGCCCAGACUCCUACGGGAGGCAGCAGUGGGGAAUUUUGGACAAUGGGGGAAACCCUGAUCCAGCCAUGCCGCGUGCAGGAUGAAGGCCUUCGGGUUGUAAACUGCUUUUGUACGGAACGAAAAGGUCUUUUCUAAUAAAGAAGGCCCAUGACGGUACCGUAAGAAUAAGCACCGGCUAACUACGUG